AAGUCGUAACAAGGUAACCGUACCGGAAGGUGCGGCUGGAUCACCUCCUUUCUAAGGAGCACCACGAAAAGCACCCCAAUUGGUGGGGUGCGAGCCGUGAGGGGUUCUCGCCUGUAGUGGGCGAGAGCCGGGUGCACAACAGCAAAUGAUUGCCAGACACACUAUUGGGCCCUGAGACAACACUCGGCCAGUCCGUGUGGUGUCCCUCCAUCUUGGUGGUGGGGUGUGGUGUUUGAGUAUUGGAUAGUGGUUGCGAGCAUCUAAACGGACGCGUUGCCGGCAACGGUAAUGUAUUCGUUGAAAUGUGUAAUUUCUUUUUGAUUUU
rnacentral:misc_RNA from 1 species